GCGUGGCAGAGGCCGCUCGCGAAGCGCUGCUUUGCUCUGCAAGGUUCCUCAAGAGAAGGGACCUGGAGAAGCUGCUGAGGAGAGAGCAGCACUUCAAAUUCUGUGAUUGCCUGAUGGACAAGGACGUGAGUGGAAG